rnacentral:rRNA from 1 species
GGUUCGAUCAUGGCUCAGAUUGAACGCUGGCGGGAUGCUUACACAUACUGCAAGUCGAACGGCGGCACGGACUUCGGUCUGGUUGGCGAGUGGCGAACAGGUGAUAAUGUAUCGGAACGUGCCACAAUAGCGGGGAUAGUUAACUGCGCGAAAAUAGCUAAUACAUACGCCCUUCGGGGGAAAAGCAGGGGACCUUCGGGCCUCGCACUAUUAGAGCGGCCGAUAUCGGAUUAGCUAGUUGGUGGGGUAACGGCUCCGCCAGAACGGCGAUCGUAGCUGGUUUGAAGGACGACCAACCACACUGGGACGAGACUGACCCAGACUCCUACGGGAGGCAGCAGUGGGGAAUUUGGACAAUGGGGGAAACCCUGAUCCAGCCAUCCCGCGCGUGUGCGAUGAAGGCCUUCAGGUUCUCAGCACUUUUGGCAGGAAAGAAACGGCACGGGAUAAUACCCCGUGCAACUGACAGUACCUGCAGAAUAAGCACCGGCUAACUACGUGCCAGCAGCCGCGGUAAUACGUAGGGUGCAAGCGUUAAUCAGAUUACUGGGCGUAAAGCGUGCGCAGGCGGUUCGGAAGAAAGAUGUGAAAUCAAGAGCUUAACUUUGGAACUGCAUUUUUAACUACCGAGCUAGAGUGGUAUCAGAGGGAGGUGGAAUUCCGCGUGUAGCAGUAUUGUAAGAUAUGCGGAGGAACACCGAUGGCGAAGGCAGCACUCCUGGGAUAACACUGACGCUCAUGCACGAAAGCGUGGGAGCAAACAGGAUUAGAUACCCUGGUAGUCCGCCUAAACGAUGUCAACUAGCUGUUGGGGCCUUCGGAGCCUUGGUGCUUCAACUAACGCGUGAAGUUGACCGCCUGGGAAAUUGCAGUCCGCUGGAAUUAAAACUCAAAGAAUUGACGGGGACCCGCACAAGCGGUGGAUGAUGUGGAUUAAUUCGAUGCUUGCGAAAAACCUUACCUACCCUUGACAUGUCUGGAAUCCAAGAAAGAGAUUUGGGAGUGCUCGCAAGAGAACCGGAACACAGGUGCUGCAUGGCUGUCGUCAGCUCGUGUGUCGUGAGAUAUUGCGGGUUAAGUCCCGCAACGAGCGCAGCCUUGUCAUUAGUUGCUACGAAAGGGCACUCUAAUGAAGCUGCCGGUGACAAACCGGAGGUGGGGAUGACGUCAAGUCCUCAUGGCCCUUAUGGGUAGGGCUUCACACGUCAUACAAUGGUCGGGACAGGGGGUCGCCAACCCGCGAGGAGCCCAAUCCCAGAAACCCGAUCGUAGUCCGGAUCGCAGUCUGCAACUCGACUGCGUGAAGUCGGAAUCGCUAGUAAUCGCGGAUCCAGCAUGUCGCGGUGAAUACGUUCCCGGGUCUUGCACACCGCCCGUCACACCAUGGGAGUGGGUUUUACCAGAAGUAGUUAGCCUAGCCGUAAGGAGGGCGAUUACCACGGUAGGAUUCAUGACUGGGGUGAAGUCGUAGCCUGGAGUAG